GACAGCAAACCCACAGUCUCUGUACAAAAACACAAGCUGACACACUGACGAGCUGCUGGAAGCCUUUUUUCCACACUGUUCCACUCAACUUUUUACCUCCACUAGAGGGCCACAUUAUCAAGCAGGCGCUGCACUACUUCUGCACUGUGUUCAACCAUCUGUCAAUAAUAACUGCUGCUGUGAAGAGAACCAUUCUCACUCUGAAUGCUGAACAUCAGCUACUUUCUCCUCUUCAUUUCAGCCUCGUUGUACACAUGGAACAUUGGCUGUGGAUUAUUCUUGCUGCUCUUUGCUUUGAGUGUAAAGGAGAAGACAGAGUGAUCCAGCCAACAGCAGAUGUCAUUGCUACUGAAGGAGACACAGUUACGCUGGACUGUACAUUUGAGACCAGUUACCCAAGUCCAUCUUUGUUCUGGUACAAACAAGAAGAAAAUGGUUUCCCAAAGUACAUGUUGAAACGUUUCUCAACAACAGCAGAAAAUGCUGCAGAGUUCCAGAAAGACAGAUUUGAUGCUGCAAUCAAGAAUAAGUCAGUUCCUCUGAAGAUCCAGAAGCUUCAGCUGUCUGACUCUGCUGUGUACUACUGUGCUCUGCAGCCCACAGUGACAGGAAACAGCAAAACUCUGCACAAAAACCUCUGCAGCAAACACAACACAAUACUCCACAACGUCCACUAG